AUUGAACGCUGGCGGCAGGCCUAACACAUGCAAGUCGAGCGGAUGAAGGGAGCUUGCUCCUGGAUUCAGCGGCGGACGGGUGAGUAAUGCCUAGGAAUCUGCCUGGUAGUGGGGGAUAACGUCCGGAAACGGGCGCUAAUACCGCAUACGUCCUGAGGGAGAAAGUGGGGGAUCUUCGGAUCUCACGCUAUCAGAUGAGCCUAGGUCGGAUUAGCUAGUUGGUGGGGUAAAGGCCUACCAAGGCGACGAUCCGUAACUGGUCUGAGAGGAUGAUCAGUCACACUGGAACUGAGACACGGUCCAGACUCCUACGGGAGGCAGCAGUGGGGAAUAUUGGACAAUGGGCGAAAGCCUGAUCCAGCCACGCCGCGUGUGUGAAGAAGGUCUUCGGAUUGUAAAGCACUUUAAGUUGGGAGGAAGGGCAGUAAGUUAAUACCUUGCUGUUUUGACGUUACCAACAGAAUAAGCACCGGCUAACUUCGUG
rnacentral:rRNA from 1 species